GUGCUCACUUUGGCAGCACAUAUACUAAAAUUGGAACAAUUACAGAGAAGAUUAACACGGCCCCUGUGCAAGGAUGACACGCAAAUUGGUGAAGUGUUCUGUAUUUAA
ensembl:snRNA U6 U6 spliceosomal RNA